UCACCGAAGUCAAGCAUCAUUGGGCGAGGUCAGUACUUGGGUGGGUGAUCACCUGGGAACACCGCGUGCCGUU